rnacentral:lncRNA from 1 species
CUUACUGUUUGUAAUAUGGUAAAAAUCAUGUAUUUAUGAGCCAAAUUACCAAAGUAAGUAGUUCAUAGUGAUGUUUCCCAGAUUGGCAUUUUAUUUAUUAGUGGUUUCAUACUUUUAGUUUAAGAAAAAAAUUUUUAAAAAUUGUUGCUCAGUAUUUGUUUAUAUCUUAGUAAACUGUUCAUGCCAACAAGCUCAGAUAACAAGUUUUUACUCUUCAUACCUUAGACAAAAGAUGAACAUUUUUCUAUUGACUAGAGAAACACUUUCUAACUUUGGUGACCCCUGGUAAAUACCUAGAAAACUGACAUGUCUCUUAGGAGUCACUGAAAUGGAAACAUGUGAAGAGCAGGUCACAGAUAUGAACACUUCAGGUUAAUCAUGUAACUAUUUCAUAGGGUGCUUGGAAUAUACAUGUAAAAAUAAUGAUGCACUGAAGACAAUGUGUGUCUUUAAAUUUAUGUAGAACAAUGAAAUAUACAUAUCACAUCUAUUAUAUAUAAAUUUGUGUGUGUAUAUAACAGUAAAACAAUAAAUAAUAUAAAUAGUAUAAGAAUAUUGUAAUGGAUCCUAUUUGAAGGGCUUAACAAAAUUAUCUAGUUCGAAAAUGAUUUGCAGUUCUCCUGAUUGUGUCUCUACCUCUCUUUUUCUUUUUCUAAAAAUCUAUAGAACCAGAGCAAAUCAAUUGUCUAGCAGCUAGGAGGUUUUCUUCACCACAGAACUAUGGCUCUCUUCCUUCGGGUUUAAGGAUCUUUCAAUUUGGGGAAUUAUGGCACCUCUUUAUAUGGAUUUCACUGAGAUUCCAAGAUGAUCAACUUGGAAAAUGGAUUUCAAGUGCCUUGAAAUAUAUAAAACAUGAGGACAGCAGUCAAAUAUUAUCAAUGAAAUGAUAAGGGUAAGUGAAACUUUAUAGAAUGAAUAAGUAUACAAACAUUAUACUUAUGAAUAAGAAUACAAAUAUUUUUCUCUCAUUAAACUUAGAAAUAUUUAUUUGUUCUUGCACAUUAAGAUUUAUAUGACAAGGUGACAUUUAAAUUGGUUUGAAAUAACCUGGGUGCAGUGGCUCACGUCUGUAAUCCCAGCACUUUGGGAGGCUGAGGUGGGCUGAUCACGUGGUUGGGAGUUCAAGACCAGCCUGGCCAAUAUGAUGAAACCAUCUCUCCACUAAAAAUACAAAAAUUAGCCGGGUGAGGUGGCAGGUACCUGUAAUCCCAGCAACUCAGGAGGCUGCGGCAGGAGAAUUGUUUGAACUUGGGAGGUGGAGGUAGCAGUGAGCCAAAGAUCAUGCCAUUGCAUUCCAGCCUAGGUGACAUAGUAAGACUCUAACUCAAAAAAAAAAUUGUUUAAAAUAAAACUACAGUGAACACACAAACACACACAGAUACACUAAAAGAUAUACUGUGGAUUUACUCUACCUCAUCAAAAUUAAUAAAUAAUUCACUAUUAUAAAUUAUUGAUAUUACAUUACAAAG